rnacentral:rRNA from 1 species
GAUGAACGCUGGCGGCGUGCCUAAUACAUGCAAGUCGAGCGAACAGAUGAGGAGCUUGCUCCUCUGACGUUAGCGGCGGACGGGUGAGUAACACGUGGAUAACCUACCUAUAAGACUGGGAUAACUUCGGGAAACCGGAGCUAAUACCGGAUAAUAUAUUGAACCGCAUGGUUCAAUAGUGAAAGACGGUUUUGCUGUCACUUAUAGAUGGAUCCGCCCCGCAUUAGCUAGUUGGUAAGGUAACGGCUUACCAAGGCGACGAUGCGUAGCCGACCUGAGAGGGUGAUCGGCCACACUGGAACUGAGACACGGUCCAGACUCCUACGGGAGGCAGCAGUAGGGAAUCUUCCGCAAUGGGCGAAAGCCUGACGGAGCAACGCCGCGUGAGUGAUGAAGGUCUUCGGAUCGUAAAACUCUGUUAUUAGGGAAGAACAAAUGUGUAAGUAACUAUGCACGUCUUGACGGUACCUAAUCAGAAAGCCACGGCUAACUACGUG